rnacentral:rRNA from 1 species
GAUGAACGCUAGCUACAGGCUUAACACAUGCAAGUCGAGGGACCGACGCACGGGUAAGUAACACGUAUCCAACCUGCCAUUUACGCGGGGGUAGGCUUUCGAAAGAAAGAUUAAUACCCGAUAUAAAGGAUGGGGAUGCGUUACAUUAGGUUGUUGUUGAGGUAACGGCUGACCAAGACUUGGAUGGAUAGGGGGUCUGAGAGGAGGGGCCCCGACAUUGUAUACGGGAAACGGGCCAAACUCCUACGGGAGGCAGUGGUGAGGAAUAGUGGGCAAUGGGCGGUUGCCUGAACCACCGAAGUAUCGUGAAGGAUGAACGCUUAGGGGUCGUAAACUUCUUUUAGAUAAGAAUAUGUAUUAGAUUAAGAAGGAUCGGCUAACUCCGUGCCAGCAGCCGCGGUAAUUC